rnacentral:rRNA from 1 species
GACGGAGGGUGCAAGCGUUGUCCGGAAUCACUGGGUGUAAAGGGUGUGUAGGCGGGCGCGUAAGUCAGGGGUGAAAGCCUGCGGCUUAACCGCAGAACUGCCUUUGAUACUGCGGGUCUUGAGUCCUGGAGAGGUCACUGGAAUUCGUGGUGUAGCGGUGAAAUGCGUAGAUAUCACGAGGAACACCGGAGGUGUAGACGGGUGACUGGACAGUGACUGACGCUGAGGCACGAAAGCGUGGGGAGCAAACAGG